UCUCUAUCGCGUCUCGUUUUCUCCAAUCCUGAACAGUAUCUUCGUCAAUUCGACGAAUCAGCCAUUUUAGCUCACAAAAUUGCGUUGGAGCAUAUGAAGAAAUUUGAGAACAAGAUUGGGAUUGAGAAGAGAUUUAUACAUGUUCGUAUCGACAUUAGUGGAUCUCCUCUAGAACGAAGCUCUGAGACUUUCCCAAGUAUUGGCCGAGUUAGAGUAAAGCACCGUGGGAUUCUUCUGAUGUUGAAAGGCACUGUGAUUCGCUCCGGGGCUGUCAAAAUGUAUGAAGGAGAAA